rnacentral:lncRNA from 12 species
CUUCUGUGAGAUCUAGAUGGCAGUGAGUGCCUGAUUUCUGUGAUAAAAAGAAAAAACUCCGUGUGCAGAGACUCACAAAGCUGAACAGGCAACUCAAUCCCUCAGUGGUAAAUCCCAGCCUGGAGAGGAGAGGGAGCUGCUGGAGUCUCUUCUGCUGCUUCAUGGGGUUUUUGUGAA